GAUCCUGGCUCAGGACGAACGCUGGCGGCGUGCUUAACACAUGCAAGUCGAACGGAAAGAGAUGAAAGAGCUUGCUCUUUUAUUAAUUUCAGUGGCAAACGGGUGAGUAACACGUAAACAACCUGCCUUAAGGAUGGGGAUAACAGACGGAAACGACUGCUAAUACCGAAUACGUUNUAAGCAUCGCAUGGUGCAUAGAAGAAAGGGUGGCCUCUACAAGAAAGCUAUCGCCUUAAGAGGGGUUUGCG
rnacentral:rRNA from 1 species